AUUGAACGCUGGCGGCAUGCCUUACACAUGCAAGUCGAACGGUAACGGGCCUUCGGGUGCCGACGAGUGGCGAACGGGCGAGUAAUGUAUCGGAACGUACCUUUCAGUGGGGGAUAACGUAGCGAAAGUUACGCUAAUACCGCAUAUUCUGUGAGCGGGACAGCAGGGGAUCGCAAGACCCUGCGCUGCUUUAGCGGACGAUAUCAGAUUAGCUAGUUGGUGAGGUAAAGGCUCACCAAGGCGACGAUCUGUAGCGGGUGUGAGAGGAUGAUCCGCCACACUGGAACUGAGACACGGUCCAGACUCCUACGGGAGGCAGCAGUGGGGAAUUUUGGACAAUGGGGGCAACCCUGAUCCAGCCAUGCCGCGUGAGUGAAGAAGGCCUUCGGGUUGUAAAGCUCUUUCGACCGGGAAGAAAUCGUAUGGGUUAAUACCCUGUGCGGAUGACGGUACCGGCAUAAGAAGCACCGGCUAACUACGUGCCAGCCGCCGCAGUAAAAC
rnacentral:rRNA from 1 species